UUUUUUUUCUUUAACACUGAAAACUUUAUUAAUUACCAGAAAAAUCAUUGUGAAUUACAUCAGAAAUACAACUUGGAAUAUGCUGAUAAUAAGUAAACAUAGGAACAACAGAACGCUGAAAUUUUGCUAACAAAUCAGCCGGGCGAUUUGUUUUUCUUGAAACCCAACAAUACUCAAUAUUAUGAAAUCUUGCCUCCCAACUACGAAUUUCGUGAAUCCAAUUCAAAAUAUCAAACCGCUGAGAGUUGCCUUUUAAGAUGUUCAUCAGAAUUUGAUUAUCUCCUUCAAAAACAACUUUUCGAUGACCUUUAAUCCAGAGAUGAUGCAUAGCAGCUAGGAGACUUUGACAUUCUGCUUCAAUAGCAUUGUUAACAAAAGAACCCGUAGAAUGACCAGCCCCUUGA
rnacentral:lncRNA from 1 species